rnacentral:rRNA from 1 species
GUGCCAGCAGCCGCGGUAAUACGGAGGGUGCGAGCGUUAAUCGGAAUUACUGGGCGUAAAGCGCGCGUAGGCGGUUUGUUAAGUUGGAUGUGAAAUCCCCGGGCUCAACCUGGGAAUGGCACCCGAUACUGGCCGACUAGAGUACGAGAGAGGGAGGUAGAAUUCCACGUGUAGCGGUGAAAUGCGUAGAUAUGUGGAGGAAUACCGGUGGCGAAGGCGGCCUCCUGGCUCGAUACUGACGCUGAGGUGCGAAAGCGUGGGAGCAAACAGGAUUAGAUACCCUGGUGUCCACGCCGUAAACGAUGUCUACUAGCCGUUGGGAGACUUGAUUUCUUGGUGGCCAGUAACGCAUAAGUAGACCGCCUGGGGAGU